AAAUUCACAUAAUGUUUAGGUUCUGGCCCUGCCACUAGAAUGCACUGCAUAACGUGUCUCACUUUUUUAUUACUUUCCUAUAUUGUCUUACUACAAUAUUUGUUAAUUCCCUAUCUCUGUUUGAAGUAAAAGUGAAGUUUAAUUUGUUUAUGUUUAUAUUUUGUUGUACCGUUUCUCUGUGGAGUACAAAACUAUAGUUGUUUACUUGCUAUAACAUCAUGAGUUCAUUUGAUGGUAUCAUAAGGGAAUUUAAUGUGGCUGUAGAUUUUUUCAAGCCUACAACCUUUAAUUGUUUAUCGUUUUUUCUGAGUCACUGCCAUAGCGACCACACGAAUGGCUUGCGUGAAGACUCGUUCAUCGACCACCUGAGGCAGCCCGACGUGUACCUUUACUGCAGUGACAUAACUGCCCACUUCCUCGUGUCCAAGUUCCGGAGGUUAUCGGAGGUGAAGGACAAGAUCGUGGCCCUGCAGCCGAGCGCCCCGAGCCUGGUACGAUCGCAGGGCGUCGACUGCGACGGGCACUGCCAGGAAGUGACAGUCUCCACGAUUCCCGCCGGCCAUUGCCCCGGAUCCGUCAUGUUCCUGUUUGAAGGUGAGCAUGCAACGGUUCUGUACACGGGCGACUUCAGACUCGCGCAAGGGGACGUCUGCAAGCUAAAGCAGCUCCAUGUUGGGGGCGGGGCACCGCGGGCUAUCAACACGCUUUACUUGGACACAACAUUCCUCACCCCGCGCUACUGGACGUUUCCUGCGCGGGAACAGUCCGUGGUGACCACGUGCCAGCUCGCACAGGACUGGAUGCUUGCAGGGCCGCACUGUCAUGUUGUCCUCUUGCUGCCUGCGUGGACGGGCACAGAAUAUCUGUUUGUGCGAGUCGCGAAGCAUUUUAACACAAAAAUCCACGUCCUUCCUGGUUUAUACUCAAUACUGAGGGACAUACCGGAGGUCUUCGAUGCGGUGACAGACGAUAACAGCAAGCGGAUUCAUGCAGUUAUGAACAAGGAUAUUAGUGAACUUAAAAACCAUAUAGGAAAUGUAGUAUUGAAGAAAAUUCAGUUAUCAGCAAAAUAUUUUGAAAAUACUGAAGCAGAUCGCAAGGUGACGUGGUGCGAGGACACAGAUGACACUUACAGCCGCGUCUGCUACUCUUCUCACUGUUCCUUCUCAGAGCUGCGGGACUUCGUGAGGCACCUGCGGCCUCGCAAGGUGUUCCCCUGCGUCAGGCCGUUCUACACGUCCGGGUGCGAGGUGAGAGUCCGCUGUCUCGUCAUUCAAUUGGGUCGACCUCCCUCCAAGGGAUCCAGGUCGUAUUCCUGGCACGGUCAAGCGGGGUACUCUCGUUUUCCUCAGCCUUGCAUUCCAGCAAUGCUCCGUUCUCAUCUCAUCGCAUGUCACCGUCUUUGAUGACUAGAGAACAGGAAAUUUCGUGGGCCUAAUAACCUUGUGGCUAGAACUUGAUGGUGCAGCAUUUCUCGAGACUUAGUCACGUCUUCUCAAGAGAAGACAUUUUCUUCUUGAAUGGCCAGUAUGUGUUUCGAGCUUUCAGUUGCUGUUUGUUGGUGGUUUAGACUACCUUGGGGCAUGUCAAAACAGCUGUGGCCUAAUGGAAGAUGUUGCAAAAACAAGUGUUUGAAGUCGAGAUUGUCCCUAAAAUGAAUGUGAAAAAUUUACAUCUCUCUACUAAUGGCUCACCUAUUCAGUGGUAUAUUAUUGGUGGCUGGUUGGGAUGAUAAGUAUGGCACUCACUUGUGCUUCUAGUGCCAUUUUGCCUCUAAACGCAAGGCUCUGUCCUGGCACUUAGUCGUGUCGUGCAUUGGGCAACUCAAUUGUCACUCUUCUCAGUAUGCAGUCAAAAAUGAAAUACAUAAACAGAACUACUCAUCUGCCUUCAGCAUUUUCUUAAAUGCUUUGAAAGUUUUCAUAAACAGACAUCAAUAGGAUAUCUUGAUCAGUUUUCAAAUUUAAUGGUUUUUCUUGAAGCUCUGCACACCAUAUGUGUGCCCAGGUAAGUGGUGCCCAUUAAGCUCUAUUUCAUUCAUUCCACUUUCUUUUUACCUCCUUAAAUGGGCUUCAAAGAAAAACUCAGGAAUAGCAAUGUGAAGCAAUCAGGCAAUCUAUGUUUAAGUAGUAAAGUUUUUUAAAUGAGGAUCACACCAGAUUAGUUAUUGAAAUGAGUUUUAAAAUGAGUUUUGGGUGCAGACGGCAGAGUGUGAGUGGAUUUGCAAUCAUUGGCGCAUCUUUGUUAAAGGUAAAAGUCUUGCUGCAAGAGUUGGGCGUGCCGCAGGUCGAUCUGUCAAUAUUUGCCAAGGAACAGGUGCUUGACGAAGACGAGACGGCGAGCGAGCGGAUCGAAGCACAGCGAUACAGCUUCCUCCCGACUGUUCGUUUGACUGAAAAUAAAACUGUGCGACUCCCGGUCAUGGAGGAGCUAGUAGACUCCCCACCUCCGAAACGAAAACAUUUACAACACAUCAAGUUAGACUGUUUUAUUUAAUAGCUUACGUAAUUUUGUGGUAAUUAAUAUAUUUUAAAAAACUUUAAAAUAUUUUUUUAAGACAAAAGGGUUGUAUUUAAAAAAUAAAAAUAUUGAUUUACUUAUUGAUAACCUGAUAUGACUGUUUUAUCAACAAAAUAUUUCUAAUGUGAUUGUCUUGGAAUUCUUUAUCAACUUAGUGUUGUAAAGUGAUGACUUUUUUGAUUUGUAUAUGUUUAAUGUUUUAAAGCAUGCUCUAAGUGGUCCCUAAAAUGAACCUACAUUCAUAAAAUUUUCACAACCAUGAUUGCAAGUUAUUUUAUUUUCUUUAUAAUGCUUGAAAUUAGGAAAGCUAUUUUAUACCAAAAAAAUGGAUAGGACAUUCAUUAUUUCUCUUUUCCUACAAAUAAAAUCACUCUUUGUGUGUAACAUACAUUUAGAAGGCAUUUCAUCCUUUAAAAAUUUUUUUUUGUCAUUUUGCAAAAAAAAAAGUUCCCUAAAAAGAGAGUGAGUUAUAUUUUUAAAGUUAAUUUUUUUCCCUGCAGUAAAACCUAAAUUUUUUUACACAUAACAAGAGCAUGGUAAUGCAAUAACAUCAUGUAUAUUUAGGCUUCCAACUCCACUUACAAAUAAAUCUAUUUCUCUUUUGAGGUUUUUUAUUUAUGUCUGUUGGGCCGAAAAUUCAGAUACAUCAUAAGAAAUAAAUAUCAUGUAUAUGAAUGUACAUAGUGAGAAAUCAAUAAAUUGUUGAAACCUUUUUGCAGUAA